CAUGUCAGUACUGGUGAGUCUGGAUGCUGAUGAUAUGUUAGUUCCCAUCAGCUCCAAGGCUGAUCAGUAGUGAUGUG
rfam:Branchiostoma floridae genomic scaffold BRAFLscaffold_9, whole genome shotgun sequence.